UGGGGAAUUUUGGACAAUGGGCGAAAGCCUGAUCCAGCAAUGCCGCGUGUGCGAAGAAGGCCUUCGGGCUGUAAAGCACUUUUGUCCGGGAAAGAAAUCCUUGGCUCUAAUACAGUCGGGGGAUACGGUACCGGAAGAAUAAGCACCGGCUAACUACGUGCCAGCAGCCGCGGUAAUACGUAGGGUGCAAGCGUUAAUCGGAAUUACUGGGCGUAAAGCGUGCGCAGGCGGUUUGCUAAGACCGAUGUGAAAUCCCCGGGCUCAACUGGGAACUGCAUUGGUGACUGGCAGGCUAGAGUAUGGCAGAGGGGGGUAGAAUUCCACGUGUACAGUGAAAUGCGUAGAGAUGUGGAGGAAUACCGAUGGCGAAGGCAGCCCCCUGGGCCAAUACUGACGCUCAUGACGAAAGCGUGGGGGAGCAAAACAGGA
rnacentral:rRNA from 1 species